UGCGUCGCAUGCAAAAGAGCGUUUGACGCAAAAAUGAACCAUCUGCGUCGCACGUACUUAAGGUGCGUUGCAAAUUAUUGAUUUGCAACGGACCCCAAGCCCAUGCGACGCACAUCUUAGUUGGGCCGCGUACCCAUCUCACUAUCUCCCCAUCUCCCCAUCUCCGUCUCCUAAAACUCCUCAACUCCCCAUCUCACACUAACCUAAAACUCUCUCUGAUUUGCUUCUCUCUCUCUCCCUCUCUCUCUCCUUCACUCGAAUCUUCUUUCUCCCUCCCCGUGUCUCUGAAACCCAGAACUCCAGAAGUGAAGCGUCCCCAAUGGCUUCGUCCCCAAUGGCUUCGUCCCCAAUGGCUUACCGACGCCAUCUUAGUUGGUUCUGCCGGAUUUUUACCGCUGCCGUCCCCAAAAAGACAAGAUCUUUACCCAAAAACCCCGUCAAGCGUCCCCAAUGGCUUCGAUUUGAAAUAAUUUGGCUUCGAAGGAAAAAAAGCAUGGUGAAGCUUCGAAGAAAAAACCUUAUAGAUCUGAAUAAUUUGGCUUUCUUCAACGUUCUGAAAUAGCAGAUCUGAAAGUGACUGAAAUACUUUGGCUUUCUUUCCCAUUCUCCAUCUCCAACAGAAGAGGGCGACUAUUGAUGAUGAAGAUUGAAGAAUGUUUUUUAUUUUUUUGGAUCUAUGUAAAAGUUGUAAUAAAUUGUAAAUUUUAAUGUUUGGAUAUUAAAUUUUAGGGUUUUUUGUGUGUUAGAUCUAUUUUUUUUGUUUCAAAUUGUGUGUUAGAUCUAAAUUUUUUGUUUUCAAAUUGUAUACGAGGUUCUGUUCUUCUCUUUAUUUUUUCUUUCUUCUCUUUAUUUCUUUUGUGCGUCUCACAGAGAUGAUUGAAUCUGGAAUUUUAGUUCCAAAAAUAAUUUUUUUUUUAUUAAAACAGUGAUUUGCGUCGCACAUAGCCUAUUGUGCGACGCAAAUCACUAAUGUGCGUCGCACCCUUGGCAAUGUGCGACGCACAUUAUCUCUGCAUUACUCUGAAUUGGGCUGGGAUAGCCAUCUGCGUCGCACCGUAUACGAGGUACGACGCAAAUAGAUGAAAAUGUGCGUCGGAUCUGCAUUCGACGUAGAUCAUUGAUAGUCAUUUGCGUCGAGGCCUGUGGCGUCGGACCCAUGUCCGACGCAAAUAGGCGCCUCACAUCCGACGCAAAUCGCCUAUUCUGUACUAGUGCUUCUUUGUCUUUAGGUUUCUCAACAAGCUCCCAUGUGUUGUUUUUUUCGAUCAUCUUGAUUUCUUCAUUCAUGGCCUCGACCCAUUUAUCUUCUCAUGC